CACACUGCACCCUCAAUCGCCACUAACUUCACUGGCUUCCUUUCACUUUAUUAAAGAACGUGGAGAGAACGUCACCGCGUUGUAUACGAUAACUAAUUAAAAAUGUGAACAAGUGAUAUCUGCGUGCUGCGUUUAGGCGCUGGCAAGUUUGAAUAGAAACAAAAUGGAGUCAUGUACAACACGUGUUUUCUGGCAGAGAUCGGCACACGAUAGUUCAUUCGGCAUCGCUACGGAUUAUUAUUGAAGUUCUCAUUGUAAAUGUUCAUUACAACGCGCAAUGGGUGCAACAAAUUCUGUGACAAACAAGGCCUACAAACCCUGUUAAUAAGGGCUUUCCCUAAUGCUGUCUUCUUCACUACCAAUUUUCACGAUGGAUGGCCCAGAGACGUAUCGGAAAUCUCUAUUGAAAAGGUGUGAAAGCAGUAAAAAAAAAAUUACAAUAGUUACUUUAUAAAGGCGUUUAUCCAGAAAGGUUGGGUACCUUGGAUGAAGAAAAAUUAUAAUCUUGUGG
rnacentral:sRNA from 1 species